rnacentral:rRNA from 1 species
GAUGAACGCUGGCGGCGUGCCUAAUACAUGCAAGUCGAGCGAACGGACGAGAAGCUUGCUUCUCUGAUGUUAGCGGCGGACGGGUGAGUAACACGUGGAUAACCUACCUAUAAGACUGGGAUAACUUCGGGAAACCGGAGCUAAUACCGGAUAAUAUUUUGAACCGCAUGGUUCAAAAGUAAAAGACGGUCUUGCUGUCACUUAUAGAUGGAUCCGCGCUGCAUUAGCUAGUUGGUAAGGUAACGGCUUACCAAGGCAACGAUGCAUAGCCGACCUGAGAGGGUGAUCGGCCACACUGGAACUGAGACACGGUCCAGACUCCUACGGGAGGCAGCAGUAGGGAAUCUUCCGCAAUGGGCGAAAGCCUGACGGAGCAACGCCGCGUGUGUGAUGAAGGUCUUCGGAUCGUAAAACUCUGUUAUUAGGGAAGAACAUAUGUGUAAGUAACUGUGCACAUCUUGACGGUACCUAAUCAGAAAGCCACGGCUAACUACGUG